rnacentral:misc_RNA from 1 species
GUAGAUAUUGUCAGAGGCCAGCUGUUAGCUCCUUAUAAGGAUGUUCAAGGAGUGUCGCUGUAGUCACGAGAUAUCUUCAACGCUAUUAACAUUACAUGACAAGGUGUUUUAAACACAAAGUGUUGCAGACGGCGUCGACACAACAACUUUUGUGUUGAAGUGAAGAAUUUCUCAACAUCUAUCAAUUCUGGAUGUUCAAGUGAAUACCCGUCAUCAUCAUCUUUGAUACAUUGAACAUAUUGCUAAUGGCUGGAGGCUAUGAUCGUGACCGUUUCGUUUAUCCUGUUGCAGAAGAUUUCUACUGCAUUAUUUGCUUUGGUGUGUUAAGAAAUGCGCGAUUAUGCGUGGCAGGAGAACAUCAUUUUUGUUUUGAUUGUAUAUCACAAUACCUUCCUAAUAAUCCAACGUGCCCAGAAUGUCGACAAACUCUCACUCCAGAAACUUUGCAACGUCCUCACAGGUUUCUAAGGAACUGCUUGUCAGAGCUGAUAAUCCGGUGUGAUUAUCACAAUCGAGGGUGUCACGAAGGAGUUCAGCUUGGAAAUCUAGAAAAUCACGUGAAUGCCCGUUGUGAAUAUCGUGAUGUUACGUGUGAGAUCUGUGGUUUGAAAUUUAUUGCAAGAGAAAUGGACACCCACCAGGUUUACUGUCAACUUGGUGGAGCCGAAAUGCCGCAAGUGGACGACUUUAUGCAUAACUAUGAAAAAUUUUGCACGUCAACGGAUACGAGAGUUACUAGAAUUGAGGAAUAUUUGAACCAGUCGUUUGGAUUUAAUCCGCAAUGAAACAGAGGAUAUGUUCUAGGUGACGAAACAACAUUUUGGAAGAUCUGAAAGAAUUAUCGGAUCGCCAAGUACAGACAAUGAUAUCAAGUUGAUAAUGCUUAAGUUACAGUCUCAAAACUCAAGCCAACAACCACUGCAAUUAUCCUCGGAAGUUGGCAUUGUCAUGCAAUAGUUUAUGCCUAUGCUUUAAACACUGUUGAAAUUCAAUUAAUAUUUAUCACUAAACUCAAUUAAUAUUAUAAUAUUUAAUAAACAAAAUGUAUAAUUU